GCAUGUCUUUGAACCGGGGGAGGAAACCGGAGUACCCGGAGGAAACCCCCGAGGAUUCACUCUUCAUAUCAGUGAAAGGAAAUGCCAAGCCCAGAACACAAUACACAUUCAACAAGGUGUCAGAUUUAUUAGUAGUGUCAUCUAUUUUGACAAACAACAAUCUGUGUUCAAUCCUGCAACUCCUUGGGUAUCUUCCUUUCAAGCAUCUUGGGACUUUUUUGCUAACAGGCUACAGAUGAUAAAUAAUAAAUAACAUCUUCACCGUGCGUGAAGCACAAAACCAAA